CGCCGCGCCCCGCUCUCGCCGCGAGGUGGCGCGCUGCCGCCCGCCCCGAGGUGGGCCGUGCGCGGUGCUGCUGCUCGGGUUGUGGGCUCAGUUGGGCGGGCGGGGUUGUGAGGUGUUCAGCCGGCCUGAGGGAGAAAGGGGGAUUUCCCAAGUUAACGCGCUUUUUAAGUGUGGAAGCACAGAGGUGAAGGGGCGUCACGAGGCGGUGUGAAGAGUUUGUGGAAGGGUUGAUCCAAGUGAGGAUGCCUGAAACAAAACUGAUAGAUAAAGAGUUGUCCUUUCUGUUGUCCACAAGAUUGUUCAUUUUAAGUAGACCUAUUAACCAAAAUGGCACCGUUAUCUCAAUGGCUCAUUUUUUUUUUUCAGAUCUCACUGUAUCCCUCUCCAAGAUGAUCGGGCCCAGUGCUGGCAGGACCUGCAGCAGACUGGGGGAUUGCAGCAUACAUGUGUGAGGACUUCCUGCACCAGGGGCACCCCAGGGGAGUGCAGAGACCCACUGGGAGCUGGCGGUUCUGGUGAGAAGAACUGAGAAGACUCCAGUGGGGCCAGGAGCAGUGGCCAUCGUUCUCUGCGUGUGCAGAAGACAGCCCCAGGGACUGUGGCGAUCGGCACAUAGCGGGUCUGAUAGAGCCAAACAACUUUUAUCUAAUUCUGCUCAUUCAAGCUGGAUCACAGAAGGCUUUAACAAGGAGACUGAAAAACAUUAAAAGGGACUUUACAUCUCUUGGAAGGAUGUAGAAGAGAUUGGGAGUGUAAGUAGUGUUGUCCUCUGUCCUUCUGAUGGAGGCUGGCACCUGGGAAGGAGGAGAACAGGACAAGCGAAUGAUUGGCUGUGUGGAUGGUGCUAUACAUGGGGCUGUGGCUUCCAUGAUCUUCGACAGGCCUUUGAGGUGCUGAGCAUGUUGACUUCAAAUGAGACACAACUGACUGGGUGGGACAAGAAUGUUCUGGGAAACAAGCUGUCUGGGCUGAUCAGCAGAACUUAAAACUAGAUUCGAUGGGGAAAGGAGGUGGAUUUCAAAAUGACAAAGGAAGACUGGGGAACGCUGUCACUUUAGGAGGCAGUGGAGAUGGACUUCAGAUUUGUCCCCAGGGAACUCAGGAGGGCUCCCUGAAGAAGCUAAUACUGCUGAUUGUCUGGAUGAUGUGCCUCUAUACCAAUGCCAGCAGCAUGGGAAAUAAUCAGGAGGAGCUGGAAGACAUGGCACAACGGAAAAACUUACCUAGUUGCUAUCAAGGAAAUGUGGAAUGAAUUGCACAGCUGGAGCACAGUGAUCAAGGCCUGCAAGCUUUUUAGGGGAAAUACAGAGGGAUGGAGGGGCAGGGGAGUUGCUCUCUGCGUUAAGAAGUGGAUAGAUUGCAAAGAGCUGCCUUUGAAAAACAGCCAUGAUCAGAUGGAGAGCUUGUGGGCAACAGCAGGAACUGGUCCAUUGAAGGCCAUCUGGUGAUUGGGGUCUACUACAGGUUGCCUGAUCAAGGGGAGCUUGAGCACAAGGCCUUCUUGCUACAAAAGGCUCUCAUCCUGAUGGGAGAUUUCAACCACUCAGAUGUCUGCUGGGGAAACAACAUGAUGGGCUGCAAGUGAUUCAGGAGACUCCUGAAGUGCAUGGAUGAAUAUCAGGGACUGGUCCAACAAAGGACAUCUGAUGUUAAGGGGUCUACUGCAGGCUGUGUGAUCAAGGGUAGCCUGUGGAUAAGGCCUUCUUGCUUCAGAUACAGGAAGCAUUGUAUUCACAGGCUUUCAUCCUCAUGGGGAAUUUCAGCCAUCCAGAUGUCUGCUGGGAAAGAAGCACAGUGGGUUGCAGACAAUCCAGGAGACUCUUGAAGUGUGUUGAUGAUAACUUCCUGGUCCGGGUAUUAUACAAAUUGACCUGAGGGGAAGCAUUAAUAGAUCUGGUGCUCACCAGUGUAGAGGAGAUCAUUGAGGAGGUUAAGAUAGAAGGCAGUCUGGGCUAUAUUGACCAUGCCUUGGUUGAAUUUGUGAUCUUGAGGAAUAUGGGCCUGGAGAAAAGCAAACUCAGGGCCUGAACUUGAGGAGAGUGAACUUCUGGCAGUUUAAGGAAUUGUUAGAUGAGAUCCCUUGGAAAGCUGUUGGAGUAGAGCUGGCAGCUCUUUUAAGGACACGUUUUUGAAAUCACAAGAACUCAGUAUAGGAAAACAAGCAGAGAAAGCAGGAGACUGGUAGGGCUAAGCAAGGACCUACUGGUCAAACUAAGGGAAAACAGGAACUCUCUCUUGAACUGUCUUUCUUGAACAGGGGUGCCAAAAUCUGCACACAGUACUGCAGAAUUGGCCUCACCAGAGCAGAGUAGAGGGGGAGGAUCACCUCCCUUGACCUGCUCACCACACUCUUUUUAAAGCACCCCAGGAUACUGUUAGCCUUCUGUGUCACAAGGGCACACUGCUGGACUAUGAUCAAGCUGCUGUUCACCAGUACACUCACAUCCUUCUCUGCAGAGUUCCUUUCUAUCAGAUCAGCCCCUAAUCUGUACUAGUGUGUAGAGUUAUUUCUCCCCAUGUGUAGGACUCUACACUUGCCCUUGUUGAACCUCAUAAGGUUCCUUUCUGCACAACUGUCCAGCCUGUCCAGGUCUCACAGAAUAGCAACACAGCCUUCUGGUGUAUCAGCCACUCCUAGCUUUGUAUCACCAGCAAACUUGCUGAGGGUGCACUUUAUCCCUUCAUCUAUGUCCCUUAUGAAGAUGUUAAACAAGACCAGAUGCAGUUCUGACUCCCGGGGAACACUGUUAGCUACAGGUUUCCAACUAAGACUCUGUCACUGAUCACAACUCUCUGAGCUGUACCAGUAAGCCAGUUCUCAAUCCACCUCACUGUCCAUUCAUCUGUCCCACAGUUCCUAAGCUUACCUAUGAGGAUGUAGUGGAAGACAGCAUCAAAAGCCUCGAUGAUGUCAAAGUUGACAACAUCCGGUGUUCUCUGCUCAUCUAUCCAGCUGGUCAUGGCAUCAUAUAAGGCUACCAGACUGAUCAAGCAUAAUUUCCCCUUGGAGAAUCCAUGCUCACUACUCCCGAUGACUUUCUUCUCUUCCACUUAGAAAGGCUUGGAUUCCAUGCUUGAAGAUGACAUCCAGAGUAAGUUUUCCAACCUACAAGAUUCCAUGAUUCUGUUUCUUCAUGCUUGGACUAUGUUGCCAUCUGGGAUUUUCUGGUAAUUGCCAAGAAGUUGGGAAGGUUCCAUAGCACUGCGUUUUCAAAUUUGUCCUCGGUGAACUGUCUCAUAUGCAGUGAAUUUCAUGCAACAUCCAGUAUAACAUUAGGAACUCUUCUUUAGGACUGCUACAUGGAUAGCUAGGGUGGAACAACAACCUAUAUGGCACAUGAAAUGCCAGAGUUUGUGGAGGUGCUACAGAAGAGCACAGAGGAUUAAAGUAUCUUGUUGACACUGAUGAAAAAAUAGAGGCAAAAGGCUGGACAUGUUCAUAUUGUGAGCUAACAGCUUUCUUCCCGUCAUAUAGUGAACUCCCUUAUUUUGAGACAUCCUGACAUAUGAUUUUGAUCCCUAGGUCUACUCUGAGGUAGGGGAAAGAAAUUAUAGAAGUCACUUAAGAUAUGAAGGGAAGUGGAUUAGGGAUGGAAUGGUACAAAGCAGGGGAUAGAGAUCAGAUAUAUCUCAGACAGAAGAGACUUGCCUGUUUUAAGUCUGCUGCUGCUAGCAUCGUGUGUUGAAUGAGACUCAGCAAUAGCCAGUUGCAUCUUAGAUUUCGUCCAAGUAACAAUCUAGAGUAGCUUUUGAGUGAGGAGAGAUGAAGGGAUGAGAACAUAUAGGGAUAUGUCUGCUGGAAACUGAAAACUUGAUUCAGAAAUUCACUAUUUAAAAAUGGAAUGUUGUUUUAAAUUAGAAUUAUUUUUUAUUUGCGUGGUUGUAAAUUGUUCACAGUGCAAGCGGGGUCCUCUUCCUAGGAGUUGUAAGCCUAUUAAAAGAAGUGCAGGCUCUGCUAUUUCAGCUGCCUCUUGAGGAUCCCUUAGCAGUUUAAUUGUCCUCCUGUCCAAAAGCCCAUUUCCCAGCUUGAAGGUCCCUGAUGGCCAUCAGUCAAACCAGAAGACGUCGAUGACACUUGUAGGCAAGAAAAAAGUUUAGUUACAUGCCAUGUGCACUCUGUCCGGUAGGGGGAGAUGUUGCCAAACGGCAGGAGUAUUCAAACUGGAGGAAACUUUGGGUUUCAUGGACGAAAACAAUGAAUGAUCCAAGGAUCACCGAGGAGACGGCUCGCUGUGGUUUUGGGAUAGCCAAGAACAACUGAGCAGAGAGCGGCAUUUCUGGGAAGAGGCAUCAGAAACUACAACAGAUACGAAGAGCUUGAUUCUCAAGAUAAUUCCUCUUCACUUGAUGAAUCCCAGGCAAGCCAAAAGGUUGGACAACCAAGAUAUGUCACCGCAUGGACCUUGCCCACAUCACUCUCCAUUUACACCUCUGAACAUGAGAGGGGAGUGUAUCCCAUUUAGGCCACCUUCACUGGACCUGAAGUAAGGUGAGAGAGUCUGUGGGCUCUUCAUGCCCCUGCCAGAAACGUGCCUUCUAACUGGUCUCUUGAUGCCUCACCUGCAGCUGAGGCACCUGCCGCUGAGCACCUGGAGAUGCAUUCCGGCCAAGAGACUGAACAUCCAAAACUAUCCAUUAGCAUUUUCCAUGAAGAGAUAAGCUCUGCUCUCUGUUGGAGUUUCACUGUAGUAGCUAGGGGUUUGGGAGACCUGGCUUUGUUUCUGGCUCUGUCAUUCAUCUUCUGCAUGGCCUUGGCAAGUCCUUUCUCUUUUCUGUGCCUGCCUUUGCCCACAUACUCCUCUUCUGAACUAAUGGCGGUACUGUGGCUGUUUGAAUCUGUGUUGUGUGAGUAAAUAAACAGUAACUGUAGAAAGGUUUGAUUUUUUUAAAAAGAUGCUGCUUGGCAAGAUCUAACGUUAACCGAAGAUGGAAAAGGUGUGGUAUCUUGAAGUUUUUCCACCUCUACUCUCUGCUUACCUUCAGUGGAAAGUUGAUUUUCAUCAGCUGAGGAACAGAAACGAGUCCCAGCCUGCUAGCACAACCACAGUGUUAGUUAGGAAUAGUCUGAAACACAUGCAGGGAGUGAAAAUAAACCCCAGCUUAUCUGUACACUGACUUUAGACAAUAAGAGUAGCUGUGGACCAGACAUCUACUGAAAGGUGUCCUGGAGCAGAAGGCAAAGUUUCCCUUCUAAACAGCUUACUUUUGCCAUCCAGGUCCUGGAAACACUCAGCUAUUUGUAAGCAUAGAAUUUUCUCUGCAAAACACUGAUGCUUUGGGGUAGGCUGAGUACUCUGCAUUGAAAUCCAGGAUACAAUGCAGUCAGUGGGUGGCCCCAGACAACUUUGAAUGGGCUUUGGAAUAGGGCCCAAGCAUAUCACAAAGAAAGGGAGAAGGAAGCUUUGCUUUAGCCAAAUCUCUGAGCAUGUGCUUCACCACUGAAAUUAGUAAGAAUUAAGCAUAUACUUAAGUAUUCUGCUGACACUUACCUUAACCACCGAGUAACAAAUACUGUCUUGCAGAGACUCUGCUUAAAAGAGAAAAAUGCCUUUUACGUGUCAAAGAGGGACAUAACAUUUAAAAUGGCAUUUCAAAUUUCUUUUAUUUUUUAGUGACAUAGCAAAAGCAGUAUUUGGCCCUGUGCUGCUUGGAACGAGGACAUUUCAAAUUAUUACCAACUGCAGCUUCUCUCUGCAUCAUUUUGCAUUAUGCAGUUUAAUGGCUGCCUGCUAGAAAGGCAUCUUCUCUGCUUCAGUCAUCUAACAGGAUUUUUGGCAUCCAGCUCAUCAGAUGGGUUAUUUUCUUUAACCAUAUUCCUGUAGGACUGCAUCUUUUAAGCAUCCUGCUGCGUUAUUUUGGCACAACCUUUAUAUCUUUUCAUCUUAUUGUUUCUGGAAUUCCUUUUCUCUUUGUAUCAAGUGAUGUUGCUGUGUGUGCUUUUUCUAACAAAUCUUGGUGGAAGAUCAGAAAAACAAACAAAAAAAAAGGCUAAUGUAUCCUAAGGAUUGAUAAUUUCAGGGUCAAAACAGAUUUUAAGUGCUGAUCUUCUUGCACCCGCUGAUGAAUCUUUCCGACCAAGAAGCUGGUGUAUCGUAUCUAGCUGGCAGCACACAGAACACAUUAGGAAAACAAAGAGAAUGUGAGAUUAAGCCGAAAACAGGCAAGAGAGGCAUUUUCUCACUGUUCUGCAUGAAGGCAGAAGAUGCUUCAAGAGGAUACAACCUCGGUUUUCUUGUUGGAACUAUGGCCUCUUCCCCCCAUCAGAUUAUUCAAAGGCAACAUCACUGAAGUCAAGUGAGAACAGGACACUGCUGAAGUAAUUACGAAGAAUUUGCCUACUCCAUCUUGACCGUCUGAGGGCAGUGUCACCUAAUAAUUGCUAAAGGAGAUAUGCCUGGUCACUGCAUACUGUCUGCACUGCAUUCACCCUCUGAAGAUGCCAUCCAAAACUCAGAGAUAUCAAAGAGAGCCUUUUCACAGAUCUUACCUGCAUCUUGGACUUUGGUAUAUUGGGCUCACUCUUCUGGGCCACAGUGCUUACUGAUAUAAACCUUUACUGGCACUGAAUCCAGUUUGAGAUAUAGAUCUGAAACAAGAUGCGACCAUGAAAGACCUCUCACACAAGUCCAGUGUAGGUUUCUACAAAAUGAGGUUGAAAGUAAAUGAUCUUUAUAUUCCCGUCCAACCUAAACUGUUUCAUGACCCUGUAAAAUGCUUUUUGCAUGAAGCUAUUUAUGCCUGGCUAGAACAUGACUGACAUGACUAUCCAGUUGUGUUCUAAGGACUUCAAGAGAUAAAGAACCUACAGCAGACUGGUAAGCUGUUCCAUGGGCAAUCAAGCUCCCUGUCAAGAACAUCCACCUUGCCCUAGGUAUGUUAAGCAGUUAUUCCACCUGGAACUGUUCUGCCUGGAGAACAGAAGGUUGAGAAGAGAUCACAUCACUGUUUAUAACUACCUGAAGUGUGGGAGUGAAGUCGAGGAAGAAUGACUCUUUUCAGUGGUGCACUGUGAAAGAGCAAAGGGCAACAAGUGAAGACUGGGACACAGAAAGCUCCAUACAAACACAAGGAAAAGCUUCUUUACUGUGAGAAUGACAGAGCACUGGAACAGGCUGCUCAGGGAGACUGUGGACUCUCCUUCGCUGAAGAUGUUCAGAACCUGCCUGGACACUUCCCUGUGCAACCCUACAGGAGAGAACCUGCUUUAGCAGGGGGUGAGACUAGAUCAUCUCCAAAGGUUCUUUUCAGUCCCCACAGUUAUGUGAUUCUGUGAUUCUGUGAUAAGCUCCUCUUUAAACUGUAGUAGGAACCAUUGUGAUAUGAGUUCUGGUGGGAAAUGUCAUAACAAGUUGAUUUUGAGGAUACAAAAAAAAAAAAAAAAAAAAAAGAAAAGAAGAGAAAAAGGAAUGAAAAAGAAAAAUCUCUUGAUUCUUCUCUAGGAGCAAAGAUUAGACGUUUUCUAAUCACCAAGGCUGAAGCAAGAGAAAAAUAUCUCCUCCCAACUUGUAUUUCUCUACACUGAAGACUGCCUUCUAAAGGAGACUGACCCGAGACGUGUGGCAUCAUUAAAUUGGGAAUGAUGCUGGACAUGCACUGCAACCACACAAGUGAAAGUUUCCUGCUUUUGGUGGAGAGAGUUGAUGAACAUAAAACAUAGGAAGAUGUGAUAUGAUUCUGGAAGCUGGGGAUUUUGGAAAAGUGACCCUUCAUCUGGGGUUUGUGAUCUGUACCAUUCAACCCAUUAGAAAGGUAAAAGAAAAAACUAUUUCAAAAUUCCUUCCUUUCCUUCCUUCCUUCCUUCCUUCCUUCCUUCCUUCCUUCCUUCCUUCCUUCCUUCCU
ensembl:lncRNA